GGAUUGUGGCUUAGUGGUAGAGCGCUUGCCUAGCAUGUGCGAGGCCCUGGGUUCAAUCCUCAGCACCA
rnacentral:tRNA from 1 species